GACGAACGCUGGCGGCGUGCUUAACACAUGCAAGUCGAACGAUGAAGCCGGAGCUUGCUCCGGUGGAUUAGUGGCGAACGGGUGAGUAACACGUGAGCAAUCUGCCCUUGACUCUGGGAUAACUGCGGGAAACUGUAGCUAAUACCGGAUACGACACCUUGGGGCAUCCCAGGGUGUGGAAAGAAUUUCGGUCAAGGAUGAGCUCGCGGCCUAUCAGCUAGUUGGUGAGGUAAUGGCUCACCAAGGCGACGACGGGUAGCCGGCCUGAGAGGGGAACCGGCCACACUGGAACUGAGACACGGUCCAGACUCCUACGGGAGGCAGCAGUGGGGAAUAUUGCACAAUGGGCGAAAGCCUGAUGCAGCAACGCCGCGUGAGGGAUGAAGGCCUUCGGGUUGUAAACCUCUUUUAGCAGGGAAGAAGCGAAAGUGACGGUACCUGCAGAAAAAGCACCGGCUAACUACGUGCCAGCAGCCGCCGUAA
rnacentral:rRNA from 1 species